UUUAAGCGGUAGUUGUAAAUUUCUGUGUACAACUUUAAUCGGCUAUCUUAUUUAAUUUUUUUUAUGAUUAGUAUUUUUGUUGUUAGAUAAUAAAACAUAGUAGUACUUUAUAUAUAACUUAUUUCUUAAAUUUUCUAUAAAAUUUUUAAAUAAGAUAAAUGAUCAAAUGAAUUAUUAAAACUCGUGAAUGCAUUUAAA
rfam:Oryza glaberrima chromosome 4 Oglab04_0319_4, whole genome shotgun sequence.